rnacentral:misc_RNA from 1 species
UCUUUCUCUGUGCUUUUGUUCUUCGUUUCUCUACACUUUCCCGGCAAAUUGGAGCUUAGAUAGCGGAUUUUCCCGAGAAAAUUUUACAUGUCUGACGCUUUGAUCAAUGGACUCGCCGGUGCUGGCGGCGGUAUCAUCGCUCAGCUCCUCACUUAUCCUCUUCAAACUGUAAAUACUCGGCAACAAACGGAGCGUGAUCCGAAGAAAGAGAAGAGGAAGCUU